GGACUACCGGGGUAUCUAAUCCCGUUUGCUCCCCUGGCUUUCGCACCUCAGCGUCAGAAAUCAGCCAGUGCAUCGCUUUCGCCGCCGGAGUUCCUUCCGAUAUCAACGCAUUUCACCGCUCCACCGGAAAUUCCAUGCACCCCUCUGAUCCUCAAGCAACGCAGUAUCGGGCGCAGUUCCUCGGUUAGGCCGAGGGAUUUCACACCCGACUUACGUCACCGCCUACGUGCGCUUUAUGCCCAGUGAUUCCGAACAACGCUCGCCACCUUCGUCUUACCGCGGCUGCUGGCAC
rnacentral:rRNA from 2 species